GGUGAGAUGGCCGAGCGGUCUAAGGCGCCAGACUAAGGACCAGGAUGUAAGGCAUCCGAGUUAUCUGGUCCGAAAGGGCGUGGGUUCGAAUCCCACUCUCAUCA